CGAAUGCUAAUACCGGAUACGCGAAACGGUCGCAUGAUCGAAUCGGGAAAGGCGGAGCAAUCUGCCACUUAUGGAUGGACCCGCGGCGCAUUAGCUAGUUGGUGGGGUAACGGCUCACCAAGGCGACGAUGCGUAGCCGACCUGAGAGGGUGAUCGGCCACACUGGGACUGAGACACGGCCCAGACUCCUACGGGAGGCAGCAGUAGGGAAUCUUCCGCAAUGGACGAAAGUCUGACGGAGCAACGCCGCGUGAGUGAUGAAGGUUUUCGGAUCGUAAAGCUCUGUUGCCAGGGAAGAACGCUUGCGAGAGUAACUGCUCGCAAGGUGACGGUACCUGAGAAGAAAGCCCCGGCUAACUACGUGCCAGCAGCCGCGGUAAUACGUAGGGGGCAAGCGUUGUCCGGAAUUAUUGGGCGUAAAGCGCGCGCAGGCGGCCUUGUAAGUCU
rnacentral:rRNA from 1 species